GGCCGCAAAUCCUCACUGCCCAUCGUGCAGACAGGAGGAGCCUGCCCGCCGGGUCCUGGAACAUCCCUGGAAACGGGGGCGCAGCCUGGUGCCUGCACUCGGGGCGCGGGGCAGGACCCGGCCUAUGGAUCGCGGACCUUCCUCUGCCGGUAGUAACCACAGGCGCCUGCUUGGAAACCCCGCGUGAGAACUUGCUUCCGGCUGAUUCCUGGGAGCGCACGGCCGUCUCGGGGCAUCUGGGGCAGAAGGGCACCCUGGAAACGACACGGCCCGGGCCUUUCCGUCCUGCAGGAAGCGAGCUGCUUCUGAACACUCAGAGCCGUGUGUCACACACACGUGUGCUGCCCCUUUGUGGGAUGGGGAUGGGACACAAGACAGUAGACUGCAGUUUACUGACCGGGGCAUUCGAGGCUUCAAAACGGUUUCGUGUUCCCCAAGUCACUCCCGAGGCUGUUUUCCACAUCAGGGCCCGUCUGGCCUGUGGUCCAGUGACAGUCAAGGGCGGACAAAUAAAUCCUCCCCUGAC